CGGGGUGUAGCGCAGUCUGGUAGCGCAUCUGCUUUGGGAGCAGAGGGUCGUGAGUUCGAAUCCCACCGCCCCGACCA
rnacentral:tRNA from 4 species